CCUGUUAUAUUGCAAUAGCGCAUGAAAGAUCUUUGGGGCAUGUUUCAUGAGCAAAACCAUGAAAGGGUGAUGGAUAGACAAGCUUAUGACAAAGAAAUAGCCAAGCAUAAAAAACAAAAUGAGUUUCUCCGAAGCAAUACAGUGAUCUUGUUGAAGAUGUUGGCAAGCUAUUAGAGUGGCCAGAUGCAAAGGCGUAGCAAAUGGACUAUGAGAAUUCAACAAAGGAUGUUGAAGAUGUGAGGGAGAAGAUGGCAGAGCUAGAGGAGAAGGGUAAGAUC
rnacentral:lncRNA from 1 species